rnacentral:tRNA from 1 species
GCGUCGGUGGUAUAACGAUUAGCAUAGCUGCCUUCCAAGCAGUUGACCCGGGUUCGACUCCCGGCCGACGCA